CAGCAACUCCCGCCUUCCCCGCCCCGCUCCUGUUCCACCGCUCGGUUCCAACCCUGAUCCAGGACGGGCCCCAGUGUGCUCUGGUGGCCCUGGCCAUGGCGGGGGCGCUGCUGGGACCCCCUGGCCCCAAUUGGGUCUGGGGGCUCUGCUGGAGCCAGCGCGGGCCAGGGGCUGCACCCGCCACAGGGAGAUGUUCUCAGGCGCUCCCCCACAGCCGGCAGGACGCAGAGACGGGGCAGUACAUAGUGCAGCUUUUGCUUUUUGCUUGGCUUUUUGCUUUGCUCUCACUCUUGCUUCUGCUUUGCUCCUGCUUUGCUCUUGCUUUCUGCUUCUGCUCAUUAGUUAGUUUAGCUAAGCAGUUCAAAUUUUUCCCUGGACUGUUUUUCCUUUACCUUUUUUGGAACUACUCGAACCUGCUCCAGACUGGGACUGGGAAACACCAAGAGUUUGCACCUUGUGGCUGCAGCAGCUGCCCCAGUGCUGGAGGGACUGAUAACAGAGCGACCACCCCAAGAGAGACUUUCUGAAUUUGUCAUCUUUUUCAGAGCGGUGAAAGAGUGGUGUCAUCUGGUAUUGUUCAUUUUGUGUGCUGGGGGUGCUGUGCUUGUCAAAUAAACGGGUUCUUUCCA